AUGUCGCGCGGCAUGUGCAUUCACUGACACAACUCAAGACGGCGACAUCACCCCUUCAGUUUUUUUUUAGUUAAUCGUUUUUUAUGGACUCUGUUAUGACAUUCUGUCAGUAGGGUUUUUGUCAUACAGUUAUGAAGCUGCCAACUGUGCUAACAAAUGGAUGUGUAACUUAAGUCGGUAAAAUGAAGGUUGGAUUAAAAUGCUUUGUUAGGCAAUGAUGCAUAGAUUGUGACGCUUAAAACCGUUAUGCAAAAUGACAAGGAGCUUUGCGAAUAGCUUAUCGGAUGUUGUUAUCUCAGUUAGGUUUAGAAAACUCUGUUAGUAUGCCGGUUUGAACUGAAGGGAAAAACACCACACAUUCAGCAUGUUGGAAUUCUGAGUUUUGAAAUGUCAAUUAUAAAUCGAUUUCGCAGGCCCAUGGUAGAUUGAAACUUGGUGUUGGCAUGCUUGGAAAGAGGAAUUAGAAAUUAUGGCAAUGUUUUGAGCAUGUAACCUAUGGUUGGAAUUGGUUUCUAACUUGUAAUUUCUGUGAUUUGGAUGGAAUUGGUUUCUAACUUGUAAUUUCUGUGAUUUGGAUGGAAUCAUAUUAUAAAAAUCACUGCAUUGUAUUGAAUGGUUGAAUGUGAUGAAUAUAUAAUUUGAAAUUGUUA